UCCUUCACAUCUGUUGAGGUGAUAGGAUCGGCAAAUUGUACUAGAACAUUGAGCGACAUGAUGUCAAGGUGAGUAAAGUUUUUGCUGUGGACAUAUCUGACGCCUUCGGCAAUUUGCAGCAUAAUAUCGACUGAAUUUAAGAUUGUAAAUGGGGUAGGUGCAGACGGAGCAUGAGUUCCAUCUUUGUAAUUCAGUAGCAGAUUGUGCAAGCUUUUGCGCAGCGGUUCCAUCAAGAUACUUACGUAGUUUUUGUCUUCCCAACAACAGAUGAUACGGACUACAUUCGGAUGGUCAAGGGCAGCCAUAUCAGAAACCUCCUCCCUGAAGUGUGCCUCGUGAGUCGCAUCUUUGUUGAAAGUCUUCAUUGCAUACAUUUGCCCAAGCCAUUUUAUCUCUUUCACUUCAGCAACGCCUACUUUUCCAUUCUGUUGUCUUUUAGAAUCAAACUGCGGUUGAACCCAUGAGAAGAUAGAUGACAUAAUUUGCGACAGAGAGCUCCUGUCCUCCAAUUCUUUUUCUUCUGUAUCCCACUGCUGAAGUACUUUAUCCUUGAGGCAUUCGGAACAAAAGUCUGGUUUACAUAUUUCAUCACAAACGUGUGGGCCUUGGAGAAGGGCCCUCAAAGAAUCUAGGUCUUGCCUUGCCGCAAGUAUCAACCUGGCAUGGUCGAUGGACCUCAGCUUACCAUCGCACGUCCUCUUGUCAUAGAUGUCGCUCUGUGCCACCAAGACGCUGUACAACACCAACGAGUGCCACUCAAUCUCAUACGCUAUCUUCGC
rnacentral:lncRNA from 1 species